rnacentral:lncRNA from 1 species
GGCCCCCUUCCCAAGGCAGCAACAUCACAUCUCUCUGGCCUUUCUUUUCUCAUCAUGUCUGUCUCUGAUCACAGGCUGGGAAAGGUUCUACAGCUUUAAGGACCCAUGCGAUUCAACUGGGACCACUGGGAUAAUCCAGCUGCUUAAACAGUGUCCUCAAGUUCCUGUUUACUCUAGGCCAUCAAUAUUGGGAUGAUGAUGAUGACAACAAUGACAAUGAAGAUGAUGAUGGCGUCCAUCCAAUAAAAAUCAAGGGCACAAAAAUGCUCUCCACACGGCACCCGCACUACCUGUCAUUCCAGAUGCUUACCGCUUUAGUGCCUCUUUCAGCAAUAUGAAGUUAAAUCCAGAGAGAGUAUUAGAGGUGAUCCAAAACUCACAUCUGACAGAGAAGUAGCCAGAGGCCCUUUAAAAAUGAAGCCUGCCUGAAAAUUGAGAGAAAGGACUCCAACCCCAAACUAGGACAUGCCAAGACAGAAAAUAAGACAAUUUGACCACAGAGGCAGCGAUUGGAGUGAUGCUGCCGCAACUCAAGGAAAGCCAGAAGCCAUCAGAUGCUGGAAGAGGCAAGGGAAGGAUUCACCAGUGAACUAUAGGAAGGUCCUGAAAGGGAAAAGGUAUAGCCUAAGUAAGAAGACCACAAGAAGUGAUUGCCUAAUAUGAACAACAUUUUCCUUGGGAACAUUUGUGGGAACUGUAGAACAGUGUGGCUGCCUAAAAAGACAAGUAAUAGAUGGAGUUCACAACAGGCUAACAAGAGGAGGAAGACCACAGAUGUAAAGUGCCAUUCUCAUCAUAUCAUAUCGUAGGUACAUGAUACCCACGUGGCUUAUUACUUAUGUUAACAUUGAUUAACUGGCUGAGGUGGUUUUCUCCACUGUAUGUCUCCUAUUUUUCCUCUGUCCAUACCCAGUGUAGCCC